CCUCCAUUUCUUGGCAUACAUGUGGUUGUUUAGUACCCGUGUAUGUAAUGUACGGAGGAACAGUAAAUGCAGCGCUAUGUCUUCGGUACCGGUGUGUAUUUGAUGGUCUGCCGGUUCUAUCCUCAAUCGCUGUUACAUUC
rnacentral:snoRNA from 1 species